AGGUACACACAACAACACAAAUAAAUUACAACCAGACGAUUACAUAACUUAAUUUAAUCUAACCGUCGAAAUUAAACAAACCCACCUUCGAAGUGCGUUUAGCGUUUUUUCUGGCGGACGAAAACUCUGCCGUCCCCCGUUUAGCACAAAUCCCACAUCCUCGCCCUGCCCCUGCCCGCACCCUUUGCCCAUUCGGUGCCUCCAUGCCGCCGCCAGGGACGUGACCGGCCUCGCCUCGCACCGCCGUCAAUGGGAACUUGGACUGCCUCACCUUGCAUCGCCGUCUGCCCCUCGCGGCCUCGCCCCUUCCCCUCCUCCCACACCCGCGCACUUGAUCCCCCUCGCACCAUGGAGUCCUCGACCGCCGCCGCGCACGCCGAGGCCACCUCCCACACCAACUUCGCGGAGUCCACCGAGGCCGUCCUCGACCUUGUCUGCGCCGACUGCGGCAAGCCAUGCCGCUCCGAGACUGAGGUGGACCUGCACAAGAAGCGCACGGGCCACGCCGAGUUCACGGACAAGACCAUGGAGGCGGCCAAUCCCAUCGAUCUCGAGGCACCGCCGAAGCCGGCCGCGGAGGCCAAGGAUGUGGACGCGUCGGGGAGUGCGGAGCCGCAACAUUUGGUGGCGCCAGAGGUGAACAAGGGGAUGCUUGGGGAACUCGAAUCGAUGGGCUUUUCGGUUGCGCGUGCCACUAGGGCACUUCACUUCUCCGGUGGCGCGGUGGAGGAGGAGUACGAGGAUGUGCUGCGGCGGCUCUCCUCUCUCAUCACGCAGAAGGUGCAGGCGCACACCGGCAACCAGGGGCAACCAGUGGGAAAACAUGGACGCUACCUCCAGACCCAUCCCUUCCUCCUUGUGCACCACAUGAAUCACGAUUGGGGAAUGUGUUGUCUGAUGCGGGUGAAUGAAGGUCAGCCAUGUAUGCGGGACCAUAUACAAGUAAUGUGGCACUCUAAUUUGGUGUUGGCAUCCAAGCAACUAUGUGAAACAAUGAAGUUUUAUCAAACUGCAACACUUCAUAUUCGUCAGUACAAAGGGCACUACGGUGGGAAGGUAGACCCUGUUAUUGUUGGUGCAUUCCGGAAGAGAUGGUCCUGAUGGUCGAGGUAUUCGAGUCUUCCAUGUUAACUGUGCUUAUUAUUACAUAACCUCCACCAUUUUGUUAAUCAUGCAUGGUUCAAACAUUUAGAUUUUGGUUAAGCAUUUUUCUCUACGUAAAUCAUGCAGAAUAAAUAUAUCAGUUUUCUUAUCUGGACCUUUAAUGGCCUUCUUUUAUACCCAUGCAUUUUUCUUCUGUUCACUUAUAAUUUAAUGGCCUUCUUCUACACCUUUAAUGUCCUGAUGAACUUGUUACUACAGAGUUUUCCACAUUCAUUCUAUGCCCAUUACUCAUUUGCUUCGUAAGUUCCUACAAUAUUGUUUAUGUUGAUUUAUUCCACUCAUAAUCAUAAUUCUCCGGGCCGCCGUCGCCGCCACGUUGAGGCCUUGGACACCAAGCGACAUCCUUUCCCAUGAGGCUUAAUUCAGUACAUGCUUCUCUGAAUUUCUACGAGCUUAAUUCACCACCCAACCGGAGCACCAACUAAUAUCUCUCACAGUGUUUUCAAUUGUACACUCAAGUGCAGGAACAAUAGAUCAUUGGGAGUGCUUCUACUUGAGUUCAUAUUCGGUGUAUAUUCCAGUUGUAAUAUGCCCCCAAACUGUAGCAUUGGCACUAUCUUGCCUGUUCGCUCAUGCCAGGAGCAGUAUUGCGUGCCACUAUGACAUCUGCAUGCCCAUGACGGUCUGUGGCAUGGUUGGGCAAGAGCGGAUUCUCGCCCGUCACGAAAGGGCGCAGGAGAUAGUGAAGGUGUUAGUGCUGGUUGUUGUUGUGAUGGUGCAUGUGACCGGAUAGUGGCAUCGCUGAAGCCUAAAUUACCUAAAGCCUACAUUAGAGGAUGUAUUCAUUCAUUUGUUUGUCUUGAUUUUGAAAUUGUUCAACAAAUUUUCAGGGUUAUAUUUUUAUGGUAAAGGUGUUUUCUUUUUUU